GUAGUUGCAUUUGCCACGGAUACUUCAAAGUUAAGAUCAAAUCAAACAUCUUGGAAUCCAUUCUUUACCAUUGUAUGCUGCAAAAAUAAAACAAACUCAACUACCACGAAAAAUAUCACAAUUCUAAUAAUAAAAUCUUCAGUGAGUAAUAAAAUUGAUACUAGAAUAUUAAUUAUAAUAGUCAUUAUGGGAAAAUAUAUAAUAAAAAGUAUCACAACAUUAAUUAUUUCGCUUAUCUAUAUAAUUCACAAAAUGACAAUUAUAUUAUUGGUCAAUAAAAUACAAAUCCUGUUGGAUACAUAUAUAGUGGUACUUACUUAAUUAAUUAGUUGUGCAUGUCAAUAACGUAAAGGAGAUCCGUGUAGCUUCUGUGACAUAUCUUGAAAUAUAAUUUUGUUUCAUUACGUUUCAAUUGUGCUAUUACCUAGUGUUUCCCCUCUCUGUGGGGAGAAAUUUCUACGUUUGAUUUUUUUUCUCCCCUUAAAAAUUUUUAAGAUUGCUGCAAUUCAGGUUUAAAUCUAUCACCUUGUGAGUCACAAUGGUUGAGAUGAGGUGUCCCCACUAUUCUAAUGCAACUAGUCCUUUGAAUUUAAUGAGGUGUUUCUUCAUGAAUAACUUUUAAUAUUUUACAAAAAACUUGAUGGUGCUUUUACUCUCAAGAAAAAAAAGAAGGCACUCAAUAUGUCCCAUGAUGGUUAAACUUUUUCAAGGUCCAAAAAGAUCUGAAUCAUGCUCUUCUAUUACAAAAUCUUUAUCAUAUAGUUUAAUUUUUAUCUUUUGGAUUGCAGCAUUAAAUCAUAAUAGCUCAUCUCUUAUGGAUCGCUUUGCCAAGGGACAUGAUCUUGACGUUUUGUUUCACAUGGCGUGCUAAUUGGGUUAAGAUGACACGAAGGUUAUCUUCAAGACUCCAAGGUCUUUGUACAUCAAUGAAGGAUGUAUCUUAUUGACUUCUUUAACCAUAUGAAUGUUGUUCCAAGCCUUUCUAAUUCGUUUUAUGUGAUGGUUUUGUUUGCGGGCAACAAAAUUAUUGUCUUGGUUCGACUUUUGCAUUCAAGUGUCCUCCACGUUCCAUGUC
rnacentral:lncRNA from 1 species